UUUUGGACUUGCUCUGCAUGGCGGGCUCUCCGUGCUUAUGUGCGGCCAACCGACAUGGGGCUGUCUCUUCACUCUCCCCUCCCGUCAUCACAAUUGUCGGGGUGGGAUGCUCGUUAUCGGCUGCCUGUGCGGUUCUACCCUUUUUUUGGGUAGCAAGGUUGUCCCUCGAUGGAAUUUUGCUUGCCCUGCUGACAUUGGUUUGUCGCUCGGGCGGCCGAAAUGUCGGCAGAAUCCUUGCGUGGUUGCGUGGGCGAAUGCCUGUGUUAUUAUCACAUUGAUUUUUGUCGGCUCUCACGGAUGCUGUGCCCAUUGUUAGCUCUGCGGGUCUUCUGUCCCGCAGGCUUUGGGAGGUCCCUUGCACGGAUCAUUGCUCUGGCGUGUUGACUGACGUGUCGGAUCUAUGCGCGGGGGCUGUGGCCACGUGCAUGCGGAUUGCCUCUCGCGAUCGUAUGAGCAGCGAUUGUCGGUUCGCGUCAGGAGAAGGGCCUCCCUGUUCGGGUUGGUGCUGGAAAUGACGUGCCGGCUGUCGUUGAAGACGUGC
rnacentral:misc_RNA from 1 species